rnacentral:piRNA from 1 species
GAAGUCUUCUAAAGAAUUCUGGUCUCUUAG